rnacentral:rRNA from 1 species
UGUAUCGGAACGUGCCCAGUCGUGGGGGAUAACGCAGCGAAAGCUGCGCUAAUACCGCAUACGAUCUAUGGAUGAAAGCGGGGGACCGUAAGGCCUCGCGCGAUUGGAGCGGCCGAUAUCAGAUUAGGUAGUUGGUGGGGUAAAGGCUCACCAAGCCAACGAUCUGUAGCUGGUCUGAGAGGACGACCAGCCACACUGGGACUGAGACACGGCCCAGACUCCUACGGGAGGCAGCAGUGGGGAAUAUUGCACAAUGGGGGAAACCCUGAUGCAGCCAUGCCGCGUGUGUGAAGAAGGCCU